ensembl:snoRNA U8 U8 small nucleolar RNA
UCGUCAGUGAGGUACAUCCUUACCUGUUACUUCAGAAAUGAAGUAUCAGAACAUGAUGAAUGGAAUUUGAUGAGAAAUGAUUAUUCUCACCUGAUCUUCGGAGAACUGCAACACUCCGAGGAUCCCUUUCUGAU